rnacentral:pre_miRNA from 10 species
GUGUGUGUGUGUGUGUGUGUGUGUGUGUCUCGCUCUCAACCUCUCUCAUGCACACACACACAC